rnacentral:rRNA from 1 species
AGUCGAGCGGAAACGAUCCUAGCUUGCUAGGAGGCGUCGAGCGGCGGACGGGUGAGUAACACGUGAGAAUCUGCCCAUUAGAGGGGGAUAACCUGGGGAAACCCAGGCUAAUACCGCAUAAUCCCUACGGGGGAAAGCAGGGGAUCUUCGGACCUUGUGCUGAUGGAUGAGCUCGCGUCGGAUUAGCUUGUUGGUGAGGUAAUGGCUCACCAAGGCGACGAUCCGUAGCUGGUCUUAGAGGAUGAUCAGCCACACCGGGACUGAGACACGGCCCGGACUCCUACGGGAGGCAGCAGUGGGGAAUCUUGGACAAUGGGGGCAACCCUGAUCCAGCCGUGCCGCGUGUGUGAAGAAGGCCUUCGGGUUGUAAAGCACUUUCAGUAGGGAGGAAGGCUUAUCCUUAAUACGGAUGAGUACUUGACGUUACCUACAGAAGAAGCACCGGCUAAUUUCGUGCCAGCAGCCGCGGCAAUACGAAAGGUGCGAGCGUUAAUCGGAAUUACUGGGCGUAAAGCGCGCGUAGGCGGUUUGCUAAGUCAGAUGUGAAAGCCCCGGGCUCAACCUGGGAACUGCAUUUGAAACUGGCAGGCUAGAAUGCAGUAGAGGGAGGUGGAAUUUCCGGUGUAGCGGUGAAAUGCGUAGAGAUCGGAAGGAACACCAGUGGCGAAGGCGGCCUCCUGGACUGACAUUGACGCUGAGGUGCGAAAGCGUGGGGAGCAAACAGGAUUAGAUACCCUGGUAGUCCACGCCGUAAACGAUGUCUACUAGUCGUUGGGAAUCUUAGUAUUCUUGGUGACGAAGUUAACGCGAUAAGUAGACCGCCUGGGGAGUACGGCCGCAAGGUUAAAACUCAAAUGAAUUGACGGGGGCCCGCACAAGCGGUGGAGCAUGUGUUUAAUUCGAUGCAACGCGAAGAACCUUACCAGCCUUGACAUCCUUGGAACUUUCUAGAGAUAGAUUAGUGCCUUCGGGAGCCAAGUGACAGUGCUGCAUGCUGUCGUCAGCUCGUGUCAGGGAUGUCGGUAAGUCCCGUACGAGCGCACCUUGUCCUAGUGCCAGCACGUAUGGUGGACUCUAGAGACUGCGUGACAUCGAGAGUGGACGACGUCAGUCAUCAUGCCUACGCUGGCUACACGGCUACAUGGCAAUACAGAGGCAGCAAGUGCGGAGCAGCAUCCUAAACUGUUUGAAUUCCGGAUGGAAUCGCCCUCGAAUCCUUGAGUCGAAUCUCUUAAUAUUCCGCGAAAUCAUAAGUCUG